rnacentral:rRNA from 1 species
UGAGUACGAGACACUACGGUGUCGAAGCAGUCUAUGUCAUACUUCCAAGAAAAGCUUGCACUGUCAUAAACAAAUAAUGCCUGUACCAUAACCGACACAGGUGGGUAGGUAGAGUAUACUAAGGGGCGCGAGAUAACUCUCUCUAAGGAACUCGGCAAAAUGACUCCGUAACUUCGGGAGAAGGAGUGCCUUAUAUUUUAUAAGGUUGCAAUAACAAGAUCCAAGCAACUGUUUACCAAAAACACAGGUCUCCGCUAAGUCGUAAGACGAUGUAUGGGGGCUGACGCCUGCCCAGUGCCAGAAGGUUAAAGAAGUUGGUUAGUAUUUGCGAAGCUGAUAACUGAAGCCCUGGUGAACGGCGGCCGUAACAAUAACGGUCCUAAGGUAGCGAAAUUCCUUGUCGGGUAAGUUCCGACCCGCACGAAAGGCGUAAUGAUUUGGAUACUGUCUCGGAGAGGGACUCGGUGAAAUAGACUUGUCUGUGAAGAUGCGGACUACUUGCACCAGGACAGAAAGACCCUAUGAAGCUUUACUGUAACUUGAAAUUGAAAUUGGACUUUACUUGCGCAGUAUAGGUGGGAGGCUUUGAGAAUAUUCUUGCGGGAAUAUUGGAGCCAUUAGUGAGAUACCACUCUGGUAAUGUUAGAUUUCUAACUUUGUAUCAUUAUCUGGUCAAAGAACAGUUUCAGGCGGGCAGUUUGACUGGGGCGGUCGCCUCCUAAACGGUAACGGAGGCGCACAAAGGUUUCCUCUGAACGGGUAGAAAUCGUAUCUAGAGUGUAAAGGCAUAAGGAAGCUUGACUGUGAGACCUACAAGUCGAGCAGGGACGAAAGUCGGUCUUAGUGAUCUGACGGUGCUGAGUGGAAAGGCCGUCACUCAACGGAUAAAAGUUACUCUAGGAUAACAGGCUGAUCUCCCCCAAGAGUUCACAUCGACGGGGAGGUUUGGCACCUCGAUGUCGGCUCAUCGCAUCCUGGGGCGGUAGUACGUCCCAAGGGUUGGGCUGUUCGCCCAUGAAAGCGGUACGCGAGCUGGGUUCAGAACGUCGUGAGACAGUUCGGUCCAUAUCCGGUGUAAGCGUUAGAAUAUUGAGAGGAGCCUUCUUUAGUACGAGAGGACCGAGAAGGAUGCACCGCUGGUGUACCAGUUAUUGUGCCAACAGUAAACGCUGGGUAGCUAUGUGUGGAGUGGAUAACCGCUGAAAGCAUCUAAGUGGGAAGCCCACCUCAAGAUAAGUAUUCUUAUCACGUAAGUGAAUAAGGUCACGGUAAGACUAACCGUUUGAUAGGCAUUAAGUGUAAAUCUAGUAAUAGACGAGCUGAGAUGUACUAACAGACCGAAGACUU